UGUUUAGCUGGUUUUGUGGAGGCGGGAAGGAAGUGGAUAGGUGGAGCUUCUGUUCCAAAAAUUUCCCCCAAAGUGCGGUUGACAGCGUACAGACGGGUGGGGUGCGUGGGGCCGCCGUCACCAACCGGGAGACGCUUCGGCGGGGCCAGGGAUGUAGUAUAAACGUUAAUGGAUGUCCAGGGUGCGCGUUUCGCCGGCCGCGGGCCGGAGGUACUGGGGAAGCGCCGGCAGGAGCUCCAGGCGAGGAUGCACCUUCUCCUGCUUGGAAAGAGUAUUUUUAUGGAAGGAGAAGGCUGAAACAAAACUCAAAGAAGGAAUAAUUUUGAAAGUGCCUUUGACUACUGGAUCUGAAAGUUAAUUCUUUUGAUGAAGUACUUUAAGAUUUUGGAUAAUGUUAUUUGUAAAACAGGUCUACUACAUAUGAUAUCCCUCGUUAAUUAUAAACCAACCAUGUUUUACUUUAUGGUGAAAAAUUUAAAGUUUAUCACAAUUUAAAUUAUUCCCCAAAUCAGUUUAUCUCCAGAUUAGUAAAGUUGGCAUAUAAGCAUAUAGGUGUUUUGUGGGGGAGGGGGAAUUUUAUCUGUUACUCUUGUUGCAAUGUAGUUGACAAUUUGAACCAGAAUUUUAGCCCAGCCUUUAGUCUAACAGUUCCUAUUCAAACCACCCCAUCUAUUUUGUAGUUCCUAAUUCCCCCAAUACUUCCUAGCCCAAUUAACCAACCCCUUAAAGUAAGCCCAACCCAACAAAGUUGCUGACACCACCAUAUGCCAACCUGCUCGUGCCCUUGGCAAGGAAAUUUUGAGCUAAAAUUGCCCCCAAAUAGACUGGCUAGCCUCAGUGAAUUCAUCAUUCCUGGAAGUGUGAGUCAAGCACUAGUCUGUGACCCCUCGAUUAGGGACAUUGUAGAAAAUAUUUGACUAUCAAAUGAAUGUUUAGAUUUGUGAUUUUUAAAGUCUAUUCCAGACCCUUGAGAUACUAUAUUUCCAACAUUUGAGUUUCUGGAUUUCUAUUAAAUUAAGCAAUUUUCCUUCCUCAUGACCAUUUUCUAGAGUUGAAUUGUCCAAUAUGGUAGCCAGAAACCAUAUGUGGCUGUUGAGCACUUGAAUGUAGUUAGUCCAAACUGAGCAUUGCUGAAAGUGUGAAAUAUACACCAGGUUUCCAGAAUUAGUAUGAAAAAUAUGUUAAAUAUCUCAAUAAUUUUU